rnacentral:tRNA from 1 species
GCGCUGCGGCGCGGCGGCCGGGCGCUCGUCGUGCGGCGGCGGCACGGCGCCGGGGACGGCGUCGGCGUCGGUCCCGGCGCUGGCUGCGUC